rnacentral:ncRNA from 1 species
AGAGUAAGAGUGCGCGCGUUGGAUCUCUGAUCCGCAGUGCCGCCCGGACGGGGAGUUGCCGGGAGGACGAAAAGCAUCGCUUGCGGUUCGCACUCUGCAUCCCGCU